ensembl:lncRNA
CCACCUCUCACAGUACACCACCAGCAGGCUCCACAUCUCACAGUACACCACCAGCAGGCUCCACAUCUCACAGUACACCAGCAGCAGGUGAGAGGGGUGGCUCCACAUCUCACAGUACACCAGCAGCAGGUGAGAGGGGAGGCUCCACAUCUCACAGUACACCACCAGCAGGCUCCACAUCUCACAGUACACCACCAGCAGGUGAGAGGGGUGGCUCCACAUCUCACAGUACACCACCAGCAGGGGAGCUCUGUGUAGAAUUCAACUGAGAUUGGAGUUAAUGCUGCCCACACUCACUUUGACCCUUUCUGUAGAUAUUAUUCAAAUAGAAAUACUUCCACUGGUCUGUAGUGUCUGAAGUGAUAAUAGAUACUGUGUGUAAAUAUGUUGUGUUCAAGUAACCCUUUAUAUGUUUUAAAUGUUUUUAUGUCUUUACAUAAUCAAACACAACUUGGAUUUUAAAACUUUGUAGAGAGGGGUUGUGUUUGCAUAAGCACAAAUACUCUAGCACUGUGUUGAUCCUGGCAGAGUGUAUAUCUCAUUUUAAAGUGGCAUAUAAAUUACAAGCUUGGACAGCAUUACAAAAAUCCCCUCAUGUAUUUAUGUUGGCAGUGCAUGUGAUUAUACAGUAUCACUCUGUUAAAAAGAUUUUUUUAGGCUUGAUUAAUGAUACUGUAAUCGGCACCUACAAUUGUAGAUGACAUGAUGCCAACACUUACCAAACGGUCUACAUUAGGGGAGGUAGGACAAAUAGGUUCUUGCUAGAUACACUCAGUAAAAAGACACAUUUAACUUCAACUUCACUAGUUUUAUGAGUAAAAAUACACUAGUCACUGUUCCAUUCUCAAUAUUCCUAUUCUGUUUUUCUUCAUUCCUGUAGUUGGGUCUCUAUUGAACACAUGGGUAGGGUUUAAAACUCAACCAAUUGAUUUGUUGAAUGAUUGACACAAUGUUCCCUAUGUCAGCACAGAACAAGCACCUUGUAACAUCUCCUGUAGAUUAGGCAGUGCACUACCCCAGCGAAUCACCUGUGAAUGGAGAUAGCCAUCUAUUGGUGUUUGCAGAUAAAGUCUUAGCUCCUUUGGGCAGAUAAGAUCUGCCAUGCGCUGAGAAUGAAUCUCUUUAUUGCAUGGCCUCACUUUGACUGAUGCAAUCAACCCCCAAUAAAACAAAGAGCCCCACACAGCCGGCCCCCACCAACCCAAUCUCAUUUUGCUAAUGCCACACAGUGUGCAAACAUGCAACGCCCCAUGCCGUUAUGCAAAUUCAAUUGGUCCAAUUAUCAUUUGCCAAAUGAGAGUAGGAGAGAGGUCUGUCAUGGGGCUGGCUUUCAUCCACUGAAGCUGUUGUAGAACCUGAGCCUUAUUUUUCCUUCAUUCAUUUGACAUUUUAAAAACCGAGAAAACACACUCAACAACAUUGAUCCCUCCUCUGCUUUCAUCGACAAAGAGACAUCACUGGAUAGAAUUCUGCAGGAAUAAGACAGAGUGACACUUUAGUACACUAUAGAUAUUUAAAUUCUAAAUAUUAAGAACAUAAAUGUUUAAUCACUUUAAAUAUAUAUAUCCUAUACUUGAAGUUACACAGAGGGGAAAAAACUGCAGCAAAAUAUGUGCAUGAGUGCCAAACACACAGUAAGUCAACAUAGCACUUCAAGUCUAAACAACAUGCACCCUAACCACUCAUGCAUAGCGAGCGACACACACAAUCACACAUCAGCCUACAUGACAUGGCACAUAUACAAACACACCUUGGCCCACUCACACAAAUACAGUCAUCACACAGAUUUACAUAUAUUUGCUCUAACAAAAAAAGCGUCAAAUAAUUUGACCCUUCUAUGACAUAUCUUUUAGAUAUAAAAAGUGCUUUCACUGAUGCUGAAUAAUAUCUGAAUGCUUCUGAAGCCGGUAUGUUUAAAUAAUAUAAAUAUAAGACAACACUUCAGCAUGGCAUAAUGUGUACUACAUUUCAUAUAUUCCUUGUUCUGUGAAAUCAGGAUAAUGUAGUUAGCCUUCAUGACAUCACAAUACUGCACACCUUUGGACUGGCAUGCUGUUGUCCAAAGUCAAGGUUUAUGUUUCUGUAGGGACCAAAGGUCAGUAACAGCCUGCAGUGGCCAUAAAACUGUGGAGGUGUGGGCUGCUCUCUCUCUCUCUCUCUCUCUCUCUCUCUCUCUCUCUCUCUCUCUCUCUCUCUCUCUCUCCCUCUCUGUGCGCAAAUAAUUGUAGGUACACUGAGCCUAUUGGCUUUCUUGUGGUUGUAGUCAUUCUAAAAUCACUGGCGGUAACUAAACCAAAACCAUUUCAUUUGUCAGACUACUGCAGUUCCUCUGUCCCAGUAGACUAAGUGGUAGAUUGCUUCAUCACAGUCUGGCAGUUCACAAAUCCCCUGCAGUAUUAAGUUUGCGACACAAUUACGUACACAUAUCCAAGUAAUGAAGCUAAACGUGCCAUUCAUUAUCCAGUGUGCAGUAUGUAUAAUUCAUCUGGUGUCAAGAAUCAUCCACAAGCCUGCCAGUCUUUAUACAUGGAGGUGUGUGUGUGUGUGUGUGUGUGUGUGUGUGUGUGUGUUUGGGGGGGGGGGGUAUUAAAGAAUGGGUAUUGGGGUAUGGGGUAUUAAAGAAUGCAGUGUACCAAUGACAGUCUCAAUGCUACAUGUGAUGCUACAUAUCAUUAGCAUAAGGCUAUGUCAAAAUAUGAGCUGUCAGGGGAGAGGCCGGGUGUGGUUCAUUUCAUAUUCAAAGCUCUACGAAUACCAAGUGAGGUAAACGUGUAGAUCUACAUCCAAGCCAGUUUAAGGCCAUAAAGGAAUAUUUUCAUGAAAAAAACAUCUAGCUAUUUGUAGUUUUGAGGGACAGAUAUGAGUCUUUAGGGGUUUCACUAAUGCCCGGUGAGAAACUUUAAAAACAACAGUUAAAAAAUGUUGAAGCCCAGAGGAGCAGUGAGAAAGAGAGAAAAAGAGAGAGGGGAGAAGAAGGAGAAAGCGUGUGUCUAUAGAGGUCACUUCUGCCUCCUCAGUUGAGUCACAGGUCAAUACACAGGUCCUGGAGAGGGCAGCCAAGUUCUUCUUCGUGGGUCCACAUGCCCCCAGCAGUGUCAGCCUCUCUGCAGAUGCUCGCUCACUCGCCCGACUUCAAACGGAGCACACUCCGAAUCGGCAUCACCACCAUGCCGCACCCCACGCGGCCUGUCAGCCUCCAUCAGCCUGAAAUGGAAAUGAAGAAGUAAGCUGCUGUUUACCCACUCACUCUUCUCCUCUUUUUUCCUUGGAAUAUAAAUAAACAUGUCUUAAUCCCGCUGCUAAUGAGCGCUGGAGGUGCCCAGGGUGGCAUGCCGGAGGAGACAGGGUAG